CUCCAGCAGGUCUACAUGCUGCCGUGUGAUUGGCUGUUUAGAUGUUGGUGUUAACAGGAAGUGGAACAGGUGGAGUUGAUGAAGUGGAUGGCUUCACUCCCUGCUUCUCAGUUUCUUCCCCUCUUACUGGGUCUCAUUACUUCUCUUCCACUGUCUUUCUCUUGGCUUGGAUAAUCCCCCCUGUAGGGGACUUCAAAGUGCGGGCCGGCCAGGGAAAAGCCUUAAUUACCCAUUUGCCUUGAAACUCAAGCCAAAUGAAAACUCCCCGGGUCCGUCCGACUCCACACUCACGCCUCCCUCGGACUAAUUGUGGGUCUGGAUUUCUUUUUUUUCCAUGCUCUCUCUCUCUCUGCUGUGGAAAUGGAAGGAUGAAAUUAAGUGAAAAUUUGAGGGGAAAACAGAAGCAGGUGAUGAAAAAGUGAACGACCUUAUUUCAGGGUGCAGUCGGAGACGCCGUAGAGACGGUGCGGAUGUGAUGGAGAUUUCCAUAUUUUUACAGGAAAUGCUGCAGCUUCAUGAGAUUAAAAACAAUAAAUGAUUCCUUCUCGUC